UACCCCUUCGUGAUAAAAGUC
rnacentral:misc_RNA from 1 species